rnacentral:lncRNA from 1 species
UGCCAACAUCGUCUUCAAUUUGUGUCAAAGCCCCACAAAAAUCCUAAAAUCACCACAAAUAAGAUUACCUUCAGUAUGAUCAUGGGACUCAUAUAAUCACCCAAUUUUAUCUAAAUUUACGCCGACAGUUAUGAUAAUGAGUACUAAAAAUUAAAAAGCCAAAAAUUAAAGAAAAAGAAAGAAGAGUUGAAUCAGACCUGUUGUGGAAAGUAAAGAAUAAAUAAUGACACAGUAGACAAAAAAAAGGAACUUGAGAUAAAAUAUCAAAAAUCAAUUGCUUAAAGCACUGACAUUGAAUGCAAUUAAUUAACAAACUGAUUGUAGAACACUUAUAUAAAAGAAAAAAAUAGUAAUGGAGAGAUUAUAAAGGAAAUGGAAUAAUUGAUUAGCUUUGGUGUAAAGGAAGGAUAUUUGAUUCUGGGAAUUUGGGGAAAGGAAACAAACAAUGGAAAAAACUUAUAAUGGGAGAAAAAAUGAAAUUAGUGUAUUCAAGCCCUUGAAAAGAUUAGUAACAGGAUUCCAAACUUGAAUGCAUCCGCACUUAUACUGGCUCUGCGCUCGCGACAGCAAUCCCUUCUCCAUCAGCCUGCGGCAGCGCUUACUCCUUAGAGCCUCCCGGCAUAGCCCCGUCGGCACCUUGUAAACGGCCAGAAAUAGAAGGUCGGCGAUUCCACAGGGGCAACAACAGCAAAUCGCGGCGCACUCAGC